rnacentral:rRNA from 1 species
GACGAACCGUGCGAACGUUAUUCGGAAUCACUGGGCUUAAAGCGCGUGUAGGCGGAUGGGGACGUCGGUCGCUGAAAUCCCCCGGCUCAACCGGGGAACGGGCGCCGAAACGCCCCGUCUCGAGGGACGUAGGGGGACCUGGAACUUCCGGUGGAGCGGUGAAAUGCGUUGAGAUCGGAAGGAACGCCCGUGGCGAAAGCGGGUCUCUGGGCCGAUACUGACGCUGAGGAGCGAAAGCGUGGGGAGCGAACAGG